CCGCACUGUAAUGGCCACCUCCUGGAUGAGGCUGAGGUGAGCAUCAUGACGAUGAGCAGGCCUGUGGCUGAUGUAGAGAGCUCCUUCAACGGGAAGUAGCAGUGCUGGAAGAACUUGAAGAUGAGCAGGUCAAUUUUGACAUGUCCAGUUAGUUCGGGUGAAUUCAUGGCCAAGAUGGACGGAUUUCUGUUGUGUGGGCUAGAGGUUCUUGAGGUAGAGCACCAGCACCAACUAAGCUUCCAUUCUGGUAAAAUGUGGAAAUUAGCAAGCAGGCUAUAGUCGGUGCAUGGAUGACCAAGUUUACUUAUUACUUUAUGAAGAUGAUGAUUCCUAAAUGGAAUUAGGAGCUAGGUCCAGCAUGUUGAUUGUGCUUCAAGGUACAGUUGUUUGUACCUUAUAAAACUAAUGCUUUUUAUUGGUGUGCAUCUUGACCGAAAGCUUGAUUCAUAGAUAGCUUCUCUUUGGCCAUGUGAUUAUUUGAAGAUUUUUGCUCUAUGUUGUUUCCCUUGAUUAGGUUCAGAAGAUGAUUGCAGCAAUUAGUCCAAUUAAUAUUUUGUUCAUAUGCUUUGAAUAAAACUGUGUUCAGACAUCAUGUUGUAUGCACUUAGGGUGCAUCCAAUCAUUUUUGUAGGUUGAAACACGAGAAGAAGUACUAUCUUGCCUGCCUGAAAUUGACAGGAGCUUAGUCUGAAUGUCGAAGAAAUACUGGAAUGUAGGAUGGAGAGGUUAGCAUGCUUACUCCAUGUAAUAAUUUCAGAACUACUGUGUUAUAGUAAUGUAUUUAGCUAAACCUUUCAUUCGGCACAUCCAUAACUCAACCAGUUUAUGCAUGAUGAUUUAGGGCGUAUUUAUUUCCAAAGCAAACAAACUACUGGUCUUCGCUGGGUAAGGAUAGGUGUUUGGUACCGAAACAAAAAUUUACUUUGUCAGGCUAACUAGCAUGCAUGGGCUAGACAAUCUUGGCACACUGGGAAAACAAUGUAAUGUUGCAGCAUGUCAACAUCAUGUUCUAAACCAUUUUUAGUGGCUGAGAGAAGAAACAAUUGUCCAGGCUCAUAAGAAAGAGCUUUUAAUUUUAGGCCAUUGUUUCGACGAGCUGGUGAACAACCUGGGUAUCUAAUUUUAUAUGAGCCAGGGAAAGCAAUUUUAUACCUAACAGCUCUCCCCUGAUUUGGAUCUUUGUUGGCCGUUCGAUCUUGCUCAUUUCGGUCAAUUGUGCCAGUUCGGUCGUCCGAUCCUUGCAUCGUGUUAUCACCUUGCCUAUUUUAUUCUCCUCACUUUGUCAUGGAUUAACAUCAUAUUACUAAUUUUUUGUGUUGAACUAACCAGUUUAACAAUCAAAAUUGAUGGCCUUGCAUCAACUGUUGUUGUUCUGCUAGCCAUAGGCUGCCCUCAGGUUCAUAAUUCUAAGCUUGGACCAUGUGGCCCACCUUAACCAAUGCAGCUUGAUGACUCCGUGUGGUUGCUAGGGGAACAGGUUGUGCUGAUAAAAGUCCAUGAUUUUUUUAUUAGCAUCAUUAUUUUUCAAUUUGAUCUAUUGUUUUCUAGCUUUUAUUGUGUAUCAACUUCCAUAUACGGUACUGUUUGUCAAGCAUUACUAUUGUUCUCACUUAGAAUUUUUUAUUUUCUUCUUUGCUACUUUAACAGAUGCUCAAGAAAUUUGGUAAGUAUCAUAGUGGUUCGGGCCUUGGUGCUACAUGAGACACAAUCACCUUCAAAGUACAUGUGUGUAUUAUGGAUAUUAAUGCUUUUGCUCAUUCUAAUUUUUUACUUAAGGUGGUUACAUUUUCUUACUUUUUGCUGAAAUAGAGUGAAUUCAGUCAUGAACAUGCAUUGAUAUAUUUAUUGUUAGUUUAUCUUCGUGUUAUCGGUAUGCUUUCGAUGGCUGCAACCUGAACUAAUUAUAUCACUAUUCCCAUCUUACUUAGUGGCAUUGCUAUGCUUCACAGUAUACAAUGUUUUGCAUGCCAGUAUAAUUCAUAAGUGGUUUUCGUAUUUAGGUGUUAUUAAUAUGGUGAGUGAUUGAAGGGGAGGCAUGAGGAGAAGAGCAGUCCAAAGGGUGGAUGGAGCAUGUCACUUGUUGAUGUUCUUUCCAUUUCCGGACAGAACAACCAUUCUAUGAUUUGGGUGUAUGUUGAUGUGUGAAAGUCAAGCAUUUGGAUUCCCAACUAGACUAUUGUGUGUGUUUAAUAUUUUAUUGUGCAUUGAUAAAAUGUUUCAGUGCCCAUGUGCACAAGUUAAAUUUUGAAAUAGAUGAAAGGACAACACAGCAUAAGGGAGUUUGCCCUUUAGGAAGGUUCUUGUCUGCUGUUGUGAUUAAAAUUAGGAAAUUUAUAUACCUAUAGCAGGAUAGUUGCUCAAGCUCAAGUCUUAUGUAACAUGUAACAUCUAAACUAUGUUUGUGCUAAUAAUUUUUCCCAUUGAAAAA